UUAACUGUAACAGAAGUC
rnacentral:miRNA from 1 species